CGCAAGAGUAUACUGAGAAUGGGCAGCAGCUGAAAUAGCCUGCCCUUAGCUGCUGCCUGUUCUCAGUAUUCUCUUGCGC